GUAAAGUCUCAUUGCAUAAAUCUGGAAAAACUUGUAUCUAAUGCCCCCCAAACAUUAUAGAUGACAUGUUUUGCAAUUUGCACAUCAAUUGCUCUUUUCUUACAUAUGACCAGAGUCACACCACAAUAUCUCUUGGCAAUUUUCUUCCCAACCUUUUUGGCCGACUCUAUGUAUUGCAUCAAUAUCAUAUCUUGUAAAGGGGACAUCUGGGAAAAUCAAGGUAGCCCCAUCCAGUACUGCCUUGCUUCAUUUUCUUCUCUUUUCUCCAGAUAUCCACAUAUACAUAAAUUUGAUCAGCGUUGACGAUCACAUAUCUCAAUCAAAUCAUUUUCACCUGAUGCAUCAUAGUUGUCUGACUUUUUAACACCUUAUCAUGUUCUCCCAUCUGAGUCUUCACUUCUGUAAUAUUUCGUGUCGUAUCCUGACUUUGUUUUGCCAGAUCUGUUAUUCUUACAUUCAUAUUAUCCAUUUUAUCUUUUAUUUGCUUUUAGAUCCCAGUUUUGAGAUAAAAUAGUUUUUUAGAAGGAUUACAUGCAAGAUUAUUAUUGUUUUUAAAAAUCUUUUUCGAGCUAGAGAACUAAAUUUUUAUUCCUGACAGAUUUUUACAAAUAGAGCAAAAUAAUUGCUCUCAGCAGCUUCAUUUGUAAGCAGCCUCCUUAAGGAUUAUUGCUAAAAAUCUAAAAUUCACUAUACUUUCUCCCAUCUACAAAUAUCAACAUUUUGGCUUGAGAAAACAUACAGUAUGUACAUUACUUUGAAAACUAGGAUAAUUAAAUUAUCUUCCUCCACUUGGUUUGCCCUCAGUGUUCAAAAUGUCUUCUUUUGGCAGUACUGUCUCCAGAAAUACAAGCAAGAUCCAAGACACAAAGAUGAGGAACCACCCAUACUGUUUGUGUGGGCACCUGUAGCAGAUGUGAGGAUAGGAAGGCAGUCCUUCCUCUGCACCACAGAGGAAAUAACCUCUUCCUUCAGAACAACUGUCUUUGGGAGAGGCUCUGAACUCCCUUUAAGUUAAUAGGAAACAAAUGCAAAAAGAUCUGUUUUCCUGCACUAAUAACACACCCCAGCGUAUUUUAAAUGGACUGUGCCAUUUGCUAUAAUCAGUCUUAAAUUGCUGGGUCAUUGGUGGCUUCGUAUGUAAUAUCUUUUAUGAAUAUUGUGUAAUAGCACAAGUGCUUUUCCCUAAAAAUACCGAAGAAGAGCAGCUGAAGGAAAUAAGAGAAAAACACCAGGAAAAGUUGGCUGAGAGAAAUGCCACGAUAAGAGAUGCAGCUGGAGGAGAAAAAUGAAUUCUUAGCAAGCGAUGUCACCAGCCUUGCGAACCAAACAAAUAAUUGAAGGAGAAACUCUUUCAAAGUCAAGGAAGGCCUGCCCAAGUUGAAGAAGACAUUCCAGGAAGUAGCAAAGGAGAGCCAAAAGCAGAAAGAACUGCAAAAGGUUGUGGACAAAAACAUCAAAGAGAUGUGUUCCAAGUUGGACUCCAUACACAUCAACAAAAAAAGAAAACCAGAUGAUGAUGAUGCAAAAUCAUCAUCAAAAUGCGACAGAGCGAGAAGAUGAGUUUUGAACAAAUUCUAAGUUUAUUCCCAGGAGUUCCCAGAUAUACCUAUUGAAAAAUAUUUAACCAAAUACAGCACAGUUAAAGAUGAGAUGCCAUAAAAAGUGAAAUUAUCAUACUUGGAGGCCAUUGAAAAAAAAUGAAGAAAAAUUUUUUUCUCUGAAUUUUUCAAGGUGUUUUUCUGAGAUUUUCAAAUUCUGCAGAAUUCUAUACCAGGGAUGCAGAA